rnacentral:rRNA from 1 species
AUACGUAGGUGGCAAGCGUUGUCCGGAAUUACUGGGCGUAAAGAGUAUGUAGGCGGACAUUUAAGUCAGAUGUGAAAUUCCCGGGCUUAACCUGGGAGCUGCAUUUGAUACUGUGUGUCUAGAGUGCAGGAGGGGAAAGUGGAAUUCCUAGUGUAGCGGUGAAAUGCGUAGAGAUUAGGAAGAACACCAGUGGCGAAGGCGACUUUCUGGACUGUAACUGACGCUGAGAUACGAAAGCCUGGGUAGCAAACAGGAUUAGAUACCCUGGUAGUCCAUGCCGUAAACGAUGAAUACUAGGUAUUGGAGGGUACCACCUUCAGUGCCGCAGCAAACGCAUUAAGUAUUCCGCCUGGGGAGUACGGUCGCAAGAUUAAA